rnacentral:lncRNA from 1 species
GGACCAUGGCCAACAGCGAGCGUACCUUCAUCGCCAUCAAGCCUGAUGGGGUCCAGCGGGGGCUUGUGGGAGAGAUCAUCAAGCGAUUCGAGCAGAAGGGAUUCCGCCUGGUUGGUUUGAAAUUUAUACAGGUGAGUGGACCUCACUCUUCCUGUUUUGAAUCUUUGGAGGGCAUAGUGGAACACUGCAGAGUAACUUCCGUGGUUGCCUUGUCUCCUGUCUAGACGUCUCCAUGGUAGGGCGUCUUGGAGCCUGAAAACCUCUCAGUGACUAAGCAUGCAGGCUGAGUCUUGGAACAAACCAAGUCAUUUAGGGCUUUCAAAAAUAGUCUCUCUUCCUCCAUAACAGCAUGAAGUCCCUCAUAUUACUGCAGAGCUGUAAUUUCUGACUCAGCUCUGCGUGUUUUAGAGCUCUUGGUCUUUAGCCUUCUAAACAGAUAAUUUUAGAGACUAUCCUUCUAACUCCUACACCUUACCCUUGA